GUCAGAUUAAUUUCAAUUGGUAAAAUACAUGAUUUGUAAUCAUCGAUAUGCUUGUUCGAAUCAGGCAUCUGGCA